GAUGAACGCUGGCGGCGUGCCUAAUAUAUGCAAGUCGAGCGAACGGACGAGAAGCUUGCUUCUCUGAUGUUAGCGGCGGACGGGUGAGUAACACGUGGAUAACCUACCUAUAAGACUGGGAUAACUUCGGGAAACCGGAGCUAAUACCGGAUAAUAUUUUGAACCGCAUGGUUCAAAAGUGAAAGACGGUCUUGCUGUCACUUAUAGAUGGAUCCGCGCUGCAUUAGCUAGUUGGUAAGGUAACGGCUUACCAAGGCAACGAUGCAUAGCCGACCUGAGAGAGUAAUCGCCCACACUAGAACUGAGACGCGGUCCAGACUCCUUCGGGAUGCACCAAUAGGGAAUCUUCCACACUGGGCGCAAGCCUGACGGAUGAACACCGCGCGAGUGAUGAACUUCUACGGGUCGUAAAGCUCCGUAAUAAGGGAAGAACAUAUGUCUAAGUAUCUGGGCACCUCUUGACCGUACCUAAUCAAAAGGGCACGGCUUACUACGUG
rnacentral:rRNA from 1 species